rnacentral:rRNA from 1 species
GACGAGGGGUCCUAGCGUUGUUCGGAAUCACUGGGCGUAAAGCGUAUGUAGGCGGCUUUUCAAGUCAGGUGUGAAAUCCCAUGGCUUAACCAUGGAACUGCAUUUGAAACUGUAAAGCUUGAGUAUUGGAGAGGAUGGUAGAAUUCCUGGUGUAGUGGUGAAAUACGUAGAUAUCAGGAGGAAUACCGGUGGCGAAGGCGGCCAACUGGACAGAUACUGACGCUGAGACACGAAAGCGCGGGGAGCGAACGGG